UGUGGAUACACUAGACAAAGGGAUGAUUUAUAUCCUGGGCAGAAUGGAGUAGGACAGUGAAAGAUUUCGCCAACAUAUUCAGAAUAGCAUGCAAUUUAAAACUUAUUUUGAAGUUGGAAGAAGUGGCAAAAUGUGAAAAGCAAGAAGCAAGUAUUACCAGAGACACCUAUGAAAAAGAAAUCUUUCUGAAGAACAUUUUUAAAGUGCCAUAAUCUGUUCGGUGAAUCCAAAGGCUGAAAGAGACUGAGUAACAGCUAUUAAGUAAGGUGAAAAUGUUAUUUUACAUGGAAACCUAUUUUGUUCCAUAAAACUAAAUAAACCAUAACCCAGAAGUGCAAUGAGACACACACAGCAUGACCACAUUAUUUCUGAAAGCUGAAGAGUUGCCAGUCUGUUGAUCUCAAACUUCAUGAACCACACAGUUCAGUUCAAAUUGUUUCCCUGAAAUUGCUUUGAGCCUCUGCCAAACAGCCACUGAAGGACUCCGAAAAAUACAAGAACUGAAAGGGGCACAUGGCAGAUACAAUCAUAAACUUUCAUUUCGGAGAGCAGUAAAAAAGGAGAAGAAGAACACACUGGUACUCCAACAAGUCAUAGUUUCUGCCAGAUGUUGCAAAAAUCAAAUGUCCACAGAAACCCAAUCAGCAACACUACUUUCAAAGUGUCUUUUGACAAGUAAUAUGUGCAUUUUACAAAUCCAAAGGCAAUAUUUGAAGUAGCUCUUCAAAACAGCUGCAUUACUCAAAGCUAUCUCUGUAUCAUCGCCUUGUUUCCUGGAAGAAAAUGUGGAAAUGUGUACUGAAAAUGUGUAAAUGAUUAAAGCAUCAGUAUAAAGAAAAAACAUUCUGAAGAUGAAUAAAAAUUAUUUUGAGGGCUUGUUGAAAAACCAAACACCAGAUGUCCACGGCUGACUUGCCAAAUGAAAAUCCUUGAAAGAAAGGUCCAGAAAUUGGCAUUUCAAAUGAAUAUACCCCAGCUGAUUGACACAGGUGUUCCUUUGAGCAAUCCUGGAUAGCACUGUUGUAGACCCUAGGUAAGCAAUUGUGUGAUCUGCUUUUUCAACUUUGUGGUAGAUUGUAUUUUCCAAAGAUGACAGCACCAGUACAUACCAUCCUAUAUGCUCUUCCUAUAAGGUGACAUUGACAUGUCUCCACCAAAUGAUGGGAUUUACGUUACCUCUUCUUGGACCCGGGUGAACUUUUGACUACAGUAGAAGUGACACUAUGUGACUUCUAAGGCCAAUUCAUAAAAUGCAAUACAGCUUCCUCCUGGCUCCCUUGGGAUGCUGGCCCUAG
rnacentral:lncRNA from 1 species